AGAAUAGAUCUAUGUGGUACUUCAGUAAAAUUACAAGAUGCAUGCAAGCAUGGCCCCUGUGCAAGGAUGACACGGAAAUUUGUGAAGUGUUCCUUAUUUUU